rnacentral:lncRNA from 1 species
AUCCUAUUUUAAUAGACUCAAAGGUCUAUGGGAUGAAUUUGAAUCUAUGUCUGUAAACCAUGGCCAAAGGUGUAUGUGUGCUGCCAAAGAGGGUAUAAUAAAGGAAAAUGAUGGAAAUAAAGUGUUUCAGUUUUUAAUGGGCCUCAAUGACACAUACAUGGGGGUGAGGAGCAAUAUUCUAAUGAUGCAGCCUCCUCCAAGCCUUGACAGUGUGUAUAAUUUGCUCCUGAAUGAUGAGAAGCAAAGGCAUGUCCAGACUCCCUCUCAUUUUAAUCCGGACUCUGUAUCUUUUAAUGCCUACACUAACAGGAAGCCAGUUGACUCUAGUAAGGCUGCAAUGACUAAUGCUUCUUCUUCUUUCAAACAAAGAGUCAAUUUU